CGGAGUUCAUCUGUUGCUCUGGGCUACACUUGAUGCUACGGUAAAAUCACUCACCCUCACAUCCAGCCAGCGGCAACACACAAUGAACACCGUUCUGAAAAAGCAAAGCUGAGAGCCCCAGGAAGAUGCAGGAGGUGCGGAUGGAACCCCCGGCAUCUGCUCCUAGUAGAGGCCAGUCUGGGCCUGACCUGGCAUUCCACCCUGCAGAUAGCGAGGACUAAACCAAACUCCCAGGAGCAAUGUGACCAGCACAGGAUGGAGUCAACGCACCCUUUCUCUUGCAUAGUAGAUCUCGUCCUUCAUUAAGUACUUAUCAGAAACCUUCCCAAGCUCCCAGAACUGUGCCAGAAACUGUGGGGCCACACAGAAAUAGAAAACAAUCCCUGUCCUCAGAGAGCUUAUUGUCUAUCGAGGAGCCCAAAGAGAGCUUUGCAAGUUAAAUAACAAUAUAAAAAUUAAGUUAUUCACAUCGGCACUAGACAUGUUGUAGUAACAGUAUAUGGUAAGCCCCUAAGACAUAAGGGGCUGUUAGAAUCAUCAGACGCACUCAGCCCCCAACCCCAACCCCCAGGAAUGCUAUGGAUGCAUUGGAAGAAAAUAUCAAUUUAGAAACCAGGC